rnacentral:SRP_RNA from 1 species
CCGUGCUAGGCGGGGAGGUAGCGGUGCCCUGCACCCGCAAUCCGCUCUAGCGGGGCUGAAUUCCCUCUCGAGGGAACUCGG